UACAGAGGGUGCGAGCGUUAAUCGGAAUUACUGGGCGUAAAGCGCGCGUAGGCGGCUUUGCAAGUCGGGUGUGAAAUCCCCAGGCUUAACCUGGGAACUGCAUUCGAGACUGCAUUGCUAGAGUAUGGGGAGAGGGAAGUGGAAUUUCCGGUGUAGCGGUGAAAUGCGCAGAUAUCUGGAGGAACACCGGUGGCGAAGGCGGCAUCCUGGACCGACACUGACGCUGAGGAGCGAAAGCCAGGGGAGCAAAGCGGG
rnacentral:rRNA from 1 species